UCCGGCUGAUCCCGCCGGAGACUACUGCUAUUCGGAUUUGACUAAGCCAUGUUAGUUUCGGGUGCUUGCAUCCGGAGCGUACAGCUCAGUAACACGUAGUCAACUUGCCCUCAAGUCUGGAAUAAUCCUGGGAAACUGGGGCUAACGCCGGAUAGAUGAGAAAUACUGGAAUGUUUUUUCUUCCAAAGAUACGCUUGAGGAUAGGACUGCGUUUGAUUAGAUUGUUGCCGGGGUAACUUCCCGACAUGUCGAUAAUCAAUACGGGCCUUGAGAGAGGAAGCCCGGAGAUGGAUUCUGAGACAAGAAUCCAGGUCCUACGGGACGCAUCAGACGCGAAAAUUCCACAAUGCGCGAAAGCGUUAUGGAGAAAUCCGAAGUGGAUUCGCUAAGCGAAUUCUUUUGCCAAGUGUAAAUAGCUUGGAGAAUAAGGGGUGGGUAAGACAGGUGCCAGCCGCCGCGGUAAUACCUGCGCCCCGAGUGGUAGUCACGUUUAUUGGGUUUAAAGCGUCCGUAGCCGGUUUGUUUAGUCUUUAAUGAAAUCCCACAGUAAACUGUGAGGCUUGUUAGAGAUACUAGCAGACUUGGGACCGGGAGAGGUAAGGAGUACUGUAGGGGUAAGGGUAAAAUCUUAUAAUCCUUACAGGACUACCAGUGGCGAAGGCGCCUUACUAGAACGGAUCCGACGGUGAGGGGCGAAAGCUAGGGGAGCAAAGGGGAUUAGAUACCCCCGUAGUCCUAGCUGUAAACGAUACCCACUAGACGUUGGAGAUCUUACGAGGGUCUUCAGUGUCACAGGGAAACCGCUAAGUGGGUCACCUGGGGAAUACGGCCGCAAGACUGAAACUUAACGGAAUUGGCGGGGGAGCACACAAGGGGUGGAGGCUGCGGUUUAAUUGGAUUCAACGCCGGGAACCUUACCAGAGGCGACAGCAGAAUGAAGGUCAGGCUGAAGACUUUACCAGACAAGCUGAGAAGUAGUGCAUGGCCGUCGUCAGUUCGUGUCGUGAGAUGUCGACUUAAGUGUCGUAACGAACAAGACCCGCGCCCUAUGUUGCGACCUUUUUAUCUAUAAAGAGGGCACUCAUAGGGGACCGCUACUGAAAAAGUAGAGGAAGGUGCGGUCGACGGCAGGUCUGUAUGCCCUGAAUCCUCUGGGUUACACGCGGCCUACAAUGGGUAGCACAAUGAGAUGCAACACCGAAAGGUGAAGCCAAUCUCUAAAACUGCCCCUAGUUCAGAUUGAGGGCUGCAACUCGCCCUCAUGAAGCCGAAAUCCCUAGUAGUCGCUGUUUAGCAUACAGCGGCGAAUACGUUCCUGCUCCUUGCACACACUGCCCGUCAAGCCAUCUGAAUGGGGUGUUGGUGAGGCUUCUCCAUUUUGGAAGAGUCGAGCCAGUGCUCUGUAAGGAGGGCUAAGUCGUAACAAGGUA
rnacentral:rRNA from 1 species